UACGAAGGGUGCAAGCGUUACUCGGAAUUACUGGGCGUAAAGCGUGCGUAGGUGGUUCGUUAAGUCUGUCGUGAAAGCCCCGGGCUCAACCUGGGAAUGGCGAUGGAUACUGGCGGGCUAGAGUGCGGUAGAGGGUGGUGGAAUUCCCGGUGUAGCAGUGAAAUGCGUAGAUAUCGUAAGGAAGACCAGUGGCGAAGGCGGGUCUCUGGACAGUUCCUGACGCUGAGGCACGAAGGCCAGGGGAGCAAACGGG
rnacentral:rRNA from 1 species